rnacentral:rRNA from 1 species
UCAGUGAAAUUGAACUCGCUGUGAAGAUGCAGUGUACCCGCGGCAAGACGGAAAGACCCCGUGAACCUUUACUAUAGCUUGACACUGAACAUUGAGCCUUGAUGUGUAGGAUAGGUGGGAGGCUUUGAAGCGUGGACGCCAGUCUGCGUGGAGCCGACCUUGAAAUACCACCCUUUAAUGUUUGAUGUUCUAACGUGGACCCGUAAUCCGGGUUGCGGACAGUGUCUGGUGGGUAGUUUGACUGGGGCGGUCUCCUCCUAAAGAGUAACGGAGGAGCACGAAGGUUGGCUAAUCCUGGUCGGACAUCAGGAGGUUAGUGCAAUGGCAUAAGCCAGCUUGACUGCGAGCGUGACGGCGCGAGCAGGUGCGAAAGCAGGUCAUAGUGAUCCGGUGGUUCUGAAUGGAAGGGCCAUCGCUCAACGGAUAAAAGGUACUCCGGGGAUAACAGGCUGAUACCGCCCAAGAGUUCAUAUCGACGGCGGUGUUUGGCACCUCGAUGUCGGCUCAUCACAUCCUGGGGCUGAAGUAGGUCCCAAGGGUAUGGCUGUUCGCCAUUUAAAGUGGUACGCGAGCUGGGUUUAGAACGUCGUGAGACAGUUCGGUCCCUAUCUGCCGUGGGCGCUGGAGAACUGAGGGGGGCUGCUCCUAGUACGAGAGGACCGGAGUGGACGCAUCACUGGUGUUCGGGUUGUCAUGCCAAUGGCACUGCCCGGUAGCUAAAUGCGGAAGAGAUAAGUGCUGAAAGCAUCUAAGCACGAAACUUGCCCCGAGAUGAGUUCUCCCUGAGACUUAGAGUCUCCUGAAGGAACGUUGAAGACGACGACGUUGAUAGGCCGGGUGUGUAAGCGCAGCGAUGCGUUGAGCUAACCGGUACUAAUGAACCGUGAGGCUUAACCUUACAACGCCGAAG